GUGGCGGACGGGUGAGUAACACGUAGGUAACCUGCCCCGGAGCGGGGGAUAACAUUUGGAAACAGAUGCUAAUACCGCAUAACAACAAAAGCCACAUGGCUUUUGUUUGAAAGAUGGCUUUGGCUAUCACUCUGGGAUGGACCUGCGGUGCAUUAGCUAGUUGGUAAGGUAACGGCUUACCAAGGCGAUGAUGCAUAGCCGAGUUGAGAGACUGAUCGGCCACAAUGGAACUGAGACACGGUCCAUACUCCUACGGGAGGCAGCAGUAGGGAAUCUUCCACAAUGGGCGCAAGCCUGAUGGAGCAACACCGCGUGAGUGAAGAAGGGUUUCGGCUCGUAAAGCUCUGUUGUUGGAGAAGAACGUGCGUGAGAGUAACUGUUCACGCAGUGACGGUAUCCAACCAGAAAGUCACGGCUAACUACGUGCCAGCAGCCGCGGUAAUACGUAGGUGGCAAGCGUUAUCCGGAUUUAUUGGGCGUAAAGCGAGCGCAGGCGGUUGCUUAGGUCUGAUGUGAAAGCCUUCGGCUUAACCGAAGAAGUGCAUCGGAAACCGGGCGACUUGAGUGCAGAAGAGGACAGUGGAACUCCAUGUGUAGCGGUGGAAUGCGUAGAUAUAUGGAAGAACACCAGUGGCGAAGGCGGCUGUCUGGUCUGCAAC
rnacentral:rRNA from 1 species